AAGAUUCCAUAGUCUCACACAUGCAUGAAUAUAAUUAUUAGAUGGUGUACGGAAAUUUGGGCGUUAAAAUCAGCAUUUCAUCAUCUGAUGGUGGUGUAGAUUCAAAACGUGAAUUAUUAAUUAUUGCAUGUAAGUGAAUCCAUCUUUUCUUAUUCUUCUUCGGCGAAUGCAACAACCACCACCAACAACCACUGCCAACCGGUCACCACUUCGACGUUAGAGUAGCAAGGCGGCAGCGGCUGCAGAUCGGCAAGCAAAGCUGGAUGAAGGAGCUACACCAUAAUCUUCCCCUCCAUCAUCUUCCCACUCCAUUUUCCACGACCAAGAACACGAAUCACCUCCAUCCACAUCACAGCCACCAUUGUCCGCCACUAACAACUCCAACGAGUUGUGGCGUGGCUGGACCUCCUCCCCGAUAGGACGACAACCUUCGGCGAGCUGGCGGCGACCUCAUCUCCUUCCUGUUGGCGAGCAGUAGAUCAGGCAAGGAAACUAGGCGUUUGUUAGCGGCAGCGAAACGGUGACCUUGCGGCAAGGCUAUGCGACGACGACAAUAGUGGAUUCACUUAGUGAACGGCAGUGAUGUGAAGAACAGUCCGACAACGAGCAGGCGUAAACAGGGUGACGCGAACUGGUAGCUCUCCUCCUUCUGGCCGACAACUUUGGACCGAAAAUGAAGAAGAAAGAUGGUUUCGCUUUACAGUACUGGAUUUUGUCGGUGUCGGACGAAAGGGCUUGAGUGCAUCUUGCAUUGCAUAAUCAAAUCAUUGCCAUCGCUAGCUAGCUUCAUAUGUAGCUUAGCUUGCCUCAACUAAACAACAAAAGGUUAUUCCUAUCUAGUGAGUGGUAAUGUUCAUCAAAAUACCAUGUUGAUGGAUAUAUUAUAAAUGGACUCGAUAUUAAUCAACCCGUAAGAAAUCGGAUCCAAUCAGAGCCGACCUGGCCCAAGCCCAGUGCUCGACCGAGUGUUUUUUUUUUUGUGACUAACAAUUCAUUGUCUUUUCUAUUCUGUUACCUUUUGUCUUUAUUUUUUUUAUUAUUUAUCAUUUGAUUAUUUAGUUAUUUGAGUCGGAUCACUCGGGUUAAUAUAAUUCAUCACAUUUUUUUUUAGCUUUAUAAUAUAUAGUUAAUGAUAAAUAUUGACACUUAGCUUGGA